rfam:Virgibacillus pantothenticus strain DSM 26 super13, whole genome shotgun sequence.
GUUGAGUGGGAGUAAAGAGCUAACUUGAUUUGAAGUGGGAAUGCCUAUUUAACGGCAUUUGUCCUAAGCUAAAAUGAAGAAAAUGUAUUAAAAAUAAUAUAGUUCCCUACCAAAAACCCUACCAAGGAAAAAUUUUAGUAGGGAAUUUUGU